rnacentral:rRNA from 1 species
UACGUAGGGCGCAAGCGUUGUCCGGAAUUAUUGGGCGUAAAGAGCUCGUAGGCGGCUUGUCACGUCGGGUGUGAAAGCCCGGGGCUUAACCCCGGGUCUGCAUUCGAUACGGGCAGGCUAGAGUGUGGUAGGGGAGAUCGGAAUUCCUGGUGUAGCGGUGAAAUGCGCAGAUAUCAGGAGGAACACCGGUGGCGAAGGCGGAUCUCUGGGCCACUACUGACGCUGAGGAGCGAAAGCGUGGGGGAGCGAACAGG